GAUGAACGCUGGCGGCGUGCCUAAUACAUGCAAGUCGAGCGAACGGACGAGAAGCUUGCUUCUCUGAUGUUAGCGGCGGACGGGUGAGUAACACGUGGAUAACCUACCUAUAAGACUGGGAUAACUUCGGGAAACCGGAGCUAAUACCGGAUAAUAUUUUGAACCGCAUGGUUCAAAAGUGAAAGACGGUCUUGCUGUCACUUAUAGAUGGAUCCGCGCUGCAUUAGCUAGUUGGUAAGGUAACGGCUUACCAAGGCAACGAUGCAUAGCCGACCUGAGAGGGUGAUCGGACACCCUGGAACUGAGACACGGUCCAGACUCCUACGGGAGGCAGCAGUAGGGAAUCUUCCGCGAUGGGCGAAAGCCUGACGGAGGAACGCCGCGUGAGUGAUGAAGGUCUUCGGAUCGUAAAACUCUGUUAUUAGGGAAGAACAUAUGUGUAAGUAACUGUGCACAUCUUGACGGUACCUAAUCAGAAAGCCACGGCUAACUACGUG
rnacentral:rRNA from 1 species